rnacentral:lncRNA from 1 species
GUUACAGUUGGGAAGAACAUACAAUUGAAGACCAUUUCCAAACUUCUAGAAGUCAUGGAAGCCUUUGCAGGAAGGAGUGACCUCCAAAGACAAAAGAUCAUACAGAAGAGAAAGUCUAUGAAGGCAUCUAAUGUUAUAAAGUCUUUGCAGCAAGCAUUGAUCUCCACGUAUAUAAAUGAACACAUACCAGAGAGGAACCUUUUAAAUGUAACCAACAUGGUAAAGCUUUUUCAAAAACCAAUAGUCUUUACAUACAUAAAAGAAUAUAUACUUGAGAGAAAUGCUUUGACUUUAACCAAUGUGGUUAAACUUUUUCAGAAAGCAGUCAUCAACAAAAUCAUAAAACAACACGUAUAGGAGAGAGAUUUUUGAAUGUUAGCAAUGUGCUUUUACACUUUUUUCACAAAACAGUGGCCUCAAAAUAUAUAAGUACGUGUUUGUACUGGAGAGAAACCCUAUGAAUAUCGGCAAUGUCCUGAAACCCUUCUACAUCACAAUCAUCUUCAAAUCCAUAAAGAACAUGUAGUGGAGAAAAAUCCUCUGAAUAUCACUAAUUAGGUAAAGCAGUUAUAAAGAGUCAUCUCCUAACACAAAAGUAUACACACUGGAUAGAAACCCAUGA